rnacentral:rRNA from 1 species
GACGAAGGAUGCAAGCGUUAUCCGGAUUCAUUGGGCUUAAAGGGAGCGUAGGCGGAUUGGUAAGUCAGUGGUGAAAUCUUUGGGCUUAACCCAGAAACUGCCAUUGAUACUGCUGAUCUAGAGUACAGUUGCCGUUGGCGGAAUAUGACAUGUAGUGGUGAAAUACUUAGAUAUGUCAUAGAACACCGAUUGCGAAGGCAGCUAACGAAGCUGUAACUGACGCUGAGGCUCGAAAGUGCGGGGAUCAAACAGG